AUUAACAAUUGAUGGCACAGGAUGAGAAGCCCAAACUUGGAAGGACCCUCCAGGGAAAUAAGAGGAAACCAAGAGAAAGAGGGCACAGAAACCAAGGAAAGAGUUUUGUGGAGGGAGUGGCCACCUUCCUGCUACCGCAGAGAGAUGGGAUAUAAGUCAAAGAGUACAGCAGAAAAUGUCUACUGAACGGACUUCUUGGACAAGCCUGUCCACCAUUCAGAAAAUAGCCCUGGGCCUUGGGAUCCCAGCCAGUGCAACAGUUGCCUAUAUCCUAUACCGCAGGUAUAGGGAAAGCAGAGUUGUUAGUAGAAGGCACUUACCUCAAAGGCUGGAUCUAGAGAAUAGGACCUAGAGAAAUGACUUAUGUACCUAUCAGUCAGGAGAAGUUCUGAGCCUAAUGGACCCCUCAGAAGAGCGGCUGACAUUUGUUGGGGAAGAUGACAUUGAGAUAGAGAUGCGGGUUCCCCAGGAGGCUGUGAAACUCAUCAUUGGCCGGCAAGGAGCCAAUAUUAAACAGCUGCGGAAACAGACAGGUGCUCGGAUUGAUGUGGACACAGAGGAUGUAGGCGAU
rnacentral:lncRNA from 1 species